AAUGAACGCUGGCGGCAUGCCUUACACAUGCAAGUCGAACGGCAGCAUGACCUAGCUUGCUAGGUUGAUGGCGAAUGGCGAACGGGUGAGUAAUGCAUCGGAACGUGCCUUUUAGUGGGGGAUAACGUAGCGAAAGUUACGCUAAUACCGCAUAUUCUCUGAGGAGGAAAGCAGGGGACCUUCGGGCCUUGCGCUAGAAGAGCGGCCGAUGUCGGAUUAGCUAGUUGGUGAGGUAAAGGCUCACCAAGGCAACGAUCCGUAGCGGGUCUGAGAGGAUGAUCCGCCACACUGGGACUGAGACACGGCCCAGACUCCUACGGGAGGCAGCAGUGGGGAAUUUUGGACAAUGGGCGCAAGCCUGAUCCAGCCAUGCCGCGUGAGUGAAGAAGGCCUUCGGGUUGUAAAGCUCUUUCGGCUGGGAAGAAAUCGCACCCUCUAAUACAGGGUGUGGAUGACGGUACCAGCAUAAGAAGCACCGGCUAACUACGUG
rnacentral:rRNA from 1 species